GACGGAGGGGGCAAGCGUUGUCCGGAAUUACUGGGCGUAAAGCGCGCGUAGGUGGCGCGGUGCGUCGGUGCUGAAAGCGCCGGGCUUAACCCGGCGAGGUGCAGCGAUACGACCGGGCUCGAGGCCAGCAGAGGGUGGCGGAAUUCCGGGUGUAGUGGUGAAAUGCGUAGAGAUCCGGAGGAACGCCGGUGGUGAAGACGGCCACCUGGGCUGGACCUGACACUGAGGCGCGAUAGCGUGGGGAGCGAACCGGAUUAGAAACCCCCGUAGUCC
rnacentral:rRNA from 1 species